rnacentral:rRNA from 1 species
AACGAACGCUGGCGGCGCGUCUUAAGCAUGCAAGUCGAACGGUAACACGGGGCAACCUGGUGACGAGUGGCGAACGGGUGAGUAACGCGUAGGUGAUCUGCCUUUUGGUUGGGGAUAUACCGUGGAAACACGGGGUAAUACCGAAUAAGAUCCUUUGGUUUGGACUGAAGGAUGAAAGGGGCUACGGCCUCGCCGAAAGAUGAGCCUGCGUCUGAUUAGCUAGUUGGUGAGGUAAAGGCUCACCAAGGCGACGAUCAAUAGCCGGCCUGAGAGGGUGGUCGGCCACACUGGGACUGAGAUACGGCCCAGACUCCUACGGGAGGCAGCAGCUAAGAAUCUUCCACAAUGGACGCAAGUCUGAUGGAGCGACGCCGCGUGGGUGAUGAAGGCGGAAACGUUGUAAAGCCCUUUUAUAGGCGAGGAAUAAGAUCCGGAGGGAAUGCCGGGUCGAUGACGGUAGCUUAUGAAUAAGCCCCGGCUAAUUACGUGCCAGCCGCCGCCGUAA